GUGAGACGCUCGGUGGUGCCGAGACGAGGACACGGUUACAGUGAGACGCUCUGUGGUGCCGAGACGAGGACACGGUUACAGUGAGACGCUCGGUGGUGCCGAGACGAGGACACGGUUACAGUGAGACGCUCGGUGGGGACGUCUUUUUGUCCAGAAAUUGACAAAUUUGCAAUCACUCUUCAGUAUAUCCUCCGUAACCUCUGGGGGCGGCUCAAACGCCGCGGUUUCACGGUUAGCAACUUGGAAAGACCGUCCAUGGUUAAGAUAAAGGGGAGUGGGGUUGGGGGGGGGGGACUCGCCUGUCUUCUCUCAUUUCUUCAAAAAGAAAAUAGACAACAAAGAAAAGGAAACUGAUGCCAGAUUUGGACUCUUCCUCGUCUCCUCCUGGCUCGUCAGUCAUGCAUAAUCAUACUUCUAUUGUUUGUGGUUCAUAAUAUCACAUUUUGAACUGGCUGCCAGAUUCCUCCCCCCCCCCCCCCCCCCCCCCCCAUCCAUCCACUGCUGUGGCCUCCAAUUAUGAUAAUUCAGACUCUCGACUUGCUGGAAUUAGACUUUGUCUGCCCAGUUUCCCACAAUUCACUUGUGCUCUCUGGCCAACACGCUAACUCAGUGUGGUGUUUGUUGGUUUCCAUUGUUCUGGAACAUCAGCUGGUUUCAGCUCAUGUUCUAUCUUCUCUCUGCUAAUGGCUGUUUGGCAGCGCGUUGCUACACAACCCGCUCAUCGGAAAACUGUUGGAAGGAAAACUAACAAUGAAAAGUCUUCCUAGUGAAAAUCAGAUGGAAUCUGGUCCAGAUUAAAGAUGGGAAAGAGG